rnacentral:rRNA from 1 species
CACGUAGGGACCAAGCGUUGUCCGGAUUCAUUGGGCGUAAAGAGCUCGUAGGCGGUUCAGUAAGUCGGGUGUGAAACCUCCAGGCUCAACCUGGAGACGCCACCCGAUACUGCUGUGACUAGAGUCCAGUAGGGGAGCGUGGAAUUCCUGGUGUAGCGGUGAAAUGCGCAGAUAUCAGGAGGAACACCAGCGGCGAAGGCGGCGCUCUGGGCUGGAACUGACGCUGAGGAGCGAAAGCGUGGGGAGCGAACAGG